GUGUUGGUGAUGGACAGGGAGGCCUGGUAUGCUGUGAUUCAUGGGGUCGCUAAGAGUCAGACAGGACUGAGCGACUGAAUUGAACUGAACUGAUCUGAACAGGGCACAUUGUGGAGGAUGGGUGGGUGUGAAAUUUUAAGAGCCAGUCAGGAGCCAUGAAGUGCUGAGGGAGGUCAUUGAGAGGAUGUGACCGCCUGUUGACCUGUAAGCUGGAUCCAUGCAACUGGAGGCUCCUAACCCCUCCCCUGUCCUGGAAAUGUACAUUUUGCCCUCUGUUACCACGCCCGCCUGCUCAGUCGCUUCAGUUGUGUCCAACUCUUUGUGACCAUAUGGAUUGUAGCCCACCAGAUUCCUGUCCAUGGGCGUUUCCAGGCAAGAACACUGGAGUGGGUUGCCAUGCCCUCUUCCAUGCCCAGGGAUCAAACCAGCGUCUCCUGGGUCUCCUGAAUUGGCAGGUGGAUUCUUUACCCACUGAGCCACCUAGGACGCCCCUCCAUUCCCACAGCCCAAGCCAUUUCAUGGAUGAAGCCUUGAGAGAGUAAGACGGUGUUGAGACCGUCAGUCAGGUAUUGUUGGACUUUGUACCUGACUGAACCCCAUUAAAGCCUCUAUUCAAACUUAAGAUUCUGCCAGACGGGUGGGGAGAUCUUACCGUCUUACCGCCACCCAAGACAAGCCUCUUAGGUAAGUCCCCUUUCCUUUUAACCUGCCGCUUACAGUCCACAGGGUGGAAACGUGCCCAGCACGACUGAGCAUGCGCGUGCAUGCCACCAGUCUGGAGCGGUCUGUUUCUUUGUUAAAUCGCGUGGAGCCAGUUUCAGAUUGCAGUGGAAAGUCCAGAGGGUGCAAACCAACAUGAGUACAAAGAGUUGAAAAUCGACUUGCUAGUCCUUUAAACCAGGUAGACAUCAUAUUCUUCUGAGAAAGCUCUUCUAAUUGCCUGUCUGACAAGUUAUUUUUAAGCCUGACUUUCCACCUUUGUCGGAGAAGACAAUGGCACAAGGGAGACAGGCAUUAUUAUUGGGAAGUGAAGAUUUAUCAUUUGGAGAUAAGGCAAGUGAAGUUCAGAGAUCAAGUGGCCAAAGAGCUAGUGGUGGAGCUGUGGCAAGUAAGUGACUCUCAGAUCUGUAGAGUGGUUCACGUAGGUUAUGAUUCUUCUUUGGGCCUAAUGUAGCAAAAAUAAGAUUGUCCUGCAUUUAUCAGAUUCCUGGUUCCAAACCCAGCUUUAGAUUUGAGGACAGUAAGGACCUGUGAAGGGAAUAUUAGGUUUGCAAAGCUAUGACAAACCCCAUCUCUGGGCAGAGCAGUCUUGUAUCAGCUCUGUUACCAGUACGGAUUGGACCAUAUUCUGAUAUAGAAGCUUUUAGGAGCUUGACAAAGUUGCAUUUUGAUGAUCUAUUUUAGUAUUUGCUAAUUAUAAACAAAAGGCACCUGCUUUCAAAAGAAGCUGAAAGGAAGGAUAAUAGAGGUGUAAAUAUGGUGAC